rnacentral:rRNA from 1 species
AUACGGAGGGUGCAAGCGUUAAUCGGAAUUACUGGGCGUAAAGCGUACGUAGGCGGUUCGUUAAGUUAGAUGUGAAAGCCCCGGGCUUAACCUGGGAACUGCAUUUAAAACUGGCGAACUAGAGUUGAGUAGAGGGGAGUGGAAUUUCAGGUGUAGCGGUGAAAUGCGUAGAGAUCUGAAGGAACACCAGUGGCGAAGGCGGCUCCCUGGACUCAAACUGACGCUGAGGUACGAAAGCGUGGGUAGCAAACGGGAUUAGAUACCCCGGUAGUCC